GUUUUUAUAAUUUAAAAAAAAUAUUGGUCUUGUAAACCAAAUUUAAGAUAUUUCUUUAAAAACU
rnacentral:tRNA from 1 species